ACACAACACGACUCGAGGUUUCUGUGAGGGGACGCGUUUCAACAUGGCUAGCAAACUGUCCCCAGAACAGAUUAUGGAAUUCCGAGUGGCUUUCAGUCUCUUUGACAAAGACAAUGACGGUAGCAUAAAUGCAAAAGAGCUAGGAACUGUUAUGAGGGCCUUGGGCCAGAAUCCUUCCGUCACAGAACUCAGGGCAAUGGUGGAUGAGGUGGAUUUAGACGGUAACGUCCAACAAAGACACUAGUCAGCAUUGAGUCAUUCUUUAACAUAGACUGAAUGUUGUUAUACAAUAAUUUGAAUUCUGUUUUAUUGUCAAAAUUUACAAUUAAAAAAUUUCUGCAUUUAUUCGCUGAAUGUCAUUUGAACUAUACCCAUGUGCCCAUCUUACACGGAUUCUUUCACUCAUCUGUUUUCUAUUCAAAUUUUUUUAGGAAAUGGAGUAAUUGAUUUCGAAGAAUUUCUGGAAAUGAUUGUCAAAGAAAUGAAUAAGACUGACACAGAGGAAGAAAUGAGAGAGGCCUUUAAGAUUUUCGACAGGAGCGGGAACGGUUUCAUCACUGCAAAAGAGCUAAAGCAUGGCAUGGUCUACAUGGGAGAAAGGCUUUCCGAUGAAGAAGUCGAAGAAAUGAUGAGAGAGGCUGACAGUGAUGGGGACGGAAGGAUAAGCUUUGAGGAUUUUAAAAUUUUAAUGAAGACAAAGAGAUGACAGAAUUUAGCAGCUGAUAUCAGUUUAUUACAUUGUCAUUAUUCUUUAUCUUCAUGCAAUAACGUAAAGCUAAUUUGGAUUUUGAAAAACAAAACGUAUUUAAUCAUUCAUAUACAUCAUCGUGUUUCUUGCGGUAUCAUUUUAUUUUAUGUAUGAUAUUCAUUUUUGACAUAGAUGUCAUGUUAAAUAUUGCCUUAUUGUCUAAUUACGUUUUCCUAAGAUAUGUUGUCAAUCAGGAAUAAAAUUGAUGAAAAAGAC
rnacentral:misc_RNA from 1 species